GUAAUAAUGAGAGCCAGGUGUGUGUAAUGAUGAGUGCCAGGUGUGUGUAAUGAUGAGUGCCAGGUGGGUGUAUUAAUGAGAGCCAGGUGUGUGUAAUGAUGAGUGCCAGGUGUACGUAAUGAUGAGUGCCAGGUGUGCGUAAUAAUGAGAGCCAGGUGUGCGUAAUAAUGAGUGCCAGGUGGGUGUAAUGAUGAGUGCCAGGUGGGUGUAAUGAUGAGUGCCAGGUGUGUGUAAUGAUGAGUGCCAGGUGUGUGUAAUGAUGGGUGCCAGGUGUGUGUAAUGAUGAGUGCCAGGUGGGUGUAAUGAUGAGAGCCAGGUGUGUGUAAUGAUGAGUGCCAGGUGGGUGUAAUGAUGAGUGCCAGGUGGGUGUAAUGAUGAGUGCCAGGUGUGUGUAAUGAUGAGUGCCAGGUGGGUGCAAUGAUGAGUGCAAGGUGUGUGUAA
ensembl:lncRNA